AGGAGCAGUAGGGAAUCUUCGGCAAUGGACGAAAGUCUGACCGAGCAACGCCGCGUGAGUGAAGAAGGUUUUCGGAUCGUAAAACUCUGUUGUUAGAGAAGAACAAGGAUGAGAGUAACUGUUCAUCCCUUGACGGUAUCUAACCAGAAAGCCACGGCUAACUACGUGCCAGCAGCCGCGGUAAUACGUAGGUGGCAAGCGUUGUCCGGAUUUAUUGGGCGUAAAGCGAGCGCAGGCGGUUUCUUAAGUCUGAUGUGAAAGCCCCCGGCUCAACCGGGGAGGGUCAUUGGAAACUGGGAGACUUGAGUGCAGAAGAGGAGAGUGGAAUUCCAUGUGUAGCGGUGAAAUGCGUAGAUAUAUGGAGGAACACCAGUGGCGAAGGCGGCUCUCUGGUCUGUAACUGACGCUGAGGCUCGGAAGCGUGGGGAGCAAACAGGAUUAGAUACCCUGGUAGUCCACGCCGUAAACGAUGAGUGCUAAGUGUUGGAGGGUUUCCGCCCUUCAGUGCUGCAGCUAACGCAUUAAGCACUCCGCCUGGGGAGUACGACCCCCGGGGUUGAGAAA
rnacentral:rRNA from 1 species